rnacentral:rRNA from 1 species
UACGAAGGGGGCUAGCGUUGUUCGGAUUUACUGGGCGUAAAGGGUGCGUAGGUGGCGCUGUAAGUCGGGUGUGAAAUUUCGGAGCUUAACUCCGAAACUGCAUUCGAUACUGCGGUGCUUGAGGGCUGGAGAGGAGACUGGAAUUCAUGGUGUAGCAGUGAAAUGCGUAGAGAUCAUGAGGAAGACCAGGGGCGAAGGCGGGUCUCUGGACAGUUCCUGACACUGAGGCACGAAGGCCAGGGGAGCAAACGGG